GUAGUCCACGCCGUAAACGUUGGGAACUAGAUGUGGGGUCCAUUCCACGGAUUCCGUGUCGCAGCUAACGCAUUAAGUUCCCAGCCUGGGGAGUACGGCCGCAAGGCUAAAACUCAAAGGAAUUGACGGGGGCCCGCACAAGCGGCGGAGCAUGCGGAUUAAUUCGAUGCAACGCGAAGAACCUUACCAAGGCUUGACAUGCACCUGAAAAGGCUGGAAACAGUCUCCUCGCAAGACAGGUGCACAGGUGGUGCAUGGUUGUCGUCAGCUCGUGUCGUGAGAUGUUGGGUUAAGUCCCGCAACGAGCGCAACCCUCGUUCUAUGUUGCCAGCGCGUUAUGGCGGGAACUCAUAGGAGACUGCCGGGGUCAACUCGGA
rnacentral:rRNA from 1 species